GACGAACGCUGGCGGCGUGCCUAAUACAUGCAAGUAGAACGCACAGUUUAUACCGUAGCUUGCUACACCAUAGACUGUGAGUUGCGAACGGGUGAGUAACGCGUAGGUAACCUGCCUGGUAGCGGGGGAUAACUAUUGGAAACGCUAGCUAAUACCGCAUAAUAUUGAUUAUUGCAUGAUAAUUGACUGAAAGAUGCUAUUGCAUCACUACCAGAUGGACCUGCGUUGUAUUAGCUAGUAGGUGAGGUAACGGCUCACCUAGGCGACGAUACAUAGCCGACCUGAGAGGGUGAUCGGCCACACUGGGACUGAGACACGGCCCAGACUCCUACGGGAGGCAGCAGUAGGGAAUCUUCGGCAAUGGACGAAAGUCUGACCGAGCAACGCCGCGUGAGUGAAGAAGGUUUUCGGAUCGUAAAGCUCUGUUGUAAGAGAAGAACGGGUGUGAGAGUGGAAAGUGCACACUGGGACGGUAUCUUACCAGAAAGGGACGGCGAACUACGU
rnacentral:rRNA from 1 species